rnacentral:rRNA from 1 species
ACGACCAUAGGGUGUGGAAAACAGGGCUUCCCGUCCGCUCAGCCGUACUUAAGCCACACGCCGGGAGGUUAGUAGUUGGGUGGGUGACCACCAGCGAAUCCCUUCUGUUGUACGUU